GACCUGGCUGGGCGGUCCGCUUAACGGCGUGUACUGUCUGGCUGGGCCUUACCUCUUGGUGAGCCGGCGUGCCCUUCACUGGUGUGCGUCGGGGAACCAGGACUUUUACCUUGAGAAAAUUAGAGUGUUCAAAGCAGGCGCACGCUUGCAUAGAUUAGCAUGGAAUAAUGGAAUAGGACC
rnacentral:rRNA from 1 species